rnacentral:misc_RNA from 1 species
UUCCUGAAAUACACAGUGAGUUGGAAAAAAUUCAAUUUUGUAGUUGAGAGUUUUUGUGAUAGAACUGACAGACCAAAGGUUCAUAGGAAGGCUAGGCACAUGUAUGACAGAACUAAGACUUAUAGUAAGAGUGCAUUUAACAGAACCUGUUCUAGAAACAUUAGAUAAGGAUCUAUCCGCAAUGCAGACUUGUCCUUUGCCUGAAUAUGGAGAAUAGAAUAUGAAUUUAU